ACAGCAGUCGCCACGGUAAUACAGAGGGUGCGAGCGUUAAUCGGAUUUACUGGGCGUAAAGCGUGCGUAGGCGGCUUCUUAAGUCGGAUGUGAAAUCCCUGAGCUUAACUUAGGAAUUGCAUUCGAUACUGGGAAGCUAGAGUAUGGGAGAGGAUGGUAGAAUUCCAGGUGUAGCGGUGAAAUGCGUAGAGAUUUGGAGGAAUACCGAUGGCGAAGGCAGCCAUCUGGCCUAAUACUGACGCUGAGGUACGAAAGCAUGGGGAGCAAACAGGAUUAGAUACCCCUGUAGUCCCUGUCUCUUAUAC
rnacentral:rRNA from 1 species